rnacentral:lncRNA from 1 species
GUUAGAACUUGUAAUUUGUCAUCAGUUAUAUCAACAAUGGUUAUGGUUUUUACCUUUACGGUCCUUUUCUCUUCAAUCUCUUGUUUACCGUUUUAUAUAAGGAGGAGGAUGAACAAAGACCUCUCGCCAUCGAAGUAAUCAAACAUUAGAACCAAGUAAAAGCAUUAACAAAGAAGUCUCAAUAUUCGCACUCAUAUAUAUGGGAAAACCAUCAGUUUUGGUAUUGGCGCGGGGGUCUAAAGUAAGCUAACACAGCAAAGACUGUCUGGAUUAAGGUGAGGAUGAAAAGCAAGAUAGCCAAGAGUUUGAACCUUUCCCAGGGAGCAAUGUUAUAGUCUCUCAGUUGGAUCCUCAAAAGGUGGAGGUUUGGAGUGGUGUGCUUGUCCUGGCUGGCCAGAUUGCUCAAGAUUGUAGGCAACUUCUCUUUAUGGUAGGGGUUGUCUGCUUUGAUGAUUCCUUUUUUGGCUAACAGCUUGACAUCUUCAUAGGUACAAAUGAGAUCGUUCAUGAACUGCAGAUAGGAUCUCACCUCGCGUUUGCUCUUGCCCUGUUGUUGACUCUCCUCGUAAUGCUUCAGGCUUUUGAAAACUAGUUCUGUAUCAUCACCAACUGUGAAUACCGGCAAGUAAAGACGAGCAAAGAUGAAGUAGUCUGUAAAACUUAUCUCUGUACAGCCCACCUUUUUCACUUUCCUAAAACGGAUUCCCUUCUUAUUCAACUCGGAGGCGCUAAGAGUCAGGUCCUUGGCUCCAUGGACUCCCCUGCUGUCCCCCAAAUCAACAUCCCCUGUAUCAGCGUCAACGAGGUUGACAUUGCUUAAACUUCGUCCUGGAUCAAGCAUGAAUGAGUGGAGCGCAUGAAGCAAGUCAGUAGGCUGCUGUUCUUCACCCCGAGGCUUUGGUGAUGCAACAGUUUGAUUGGCAACAUGUUCUCGAGCAGGCAGAACAAGCAACUCAUACAUGAUCCUCUUGGGCAGUUGUGAUGGGGUUUCCCAGUUCACUACUUUUAGUAUAUCCUGGAAAAAACUUUGCUUCAUAAAUUCAUUGAGCACCACAAGUGGAAUUUGAUUCCCAACAAAGAACAUCGCCUCAAUCCACCUGUUGACAUCCUCUUUCUUCUUUUUGUUGCCAAAGAUAAUGUGAUUGCCGGGAUAACCCAGUUGCUCGGAAGAAGCUCCGAGGAUGAAUAAUGCCAACUGGAGGAAGAAGCAACCAUCUUCAAUCAUCAUCCACCGGAACUGAGACUCUGUCAAGUUACGCACGACUCCCCCAGCAUCAGCAUAACUAGCUCUGGCUCUUUUCUCUACCCUUCUCGUUGCAAACAAGUAAUUUUCUAUGGUUCUGUUUCUGUUCCCGCCUCCAGAUUUUUCCAGUACUUUAUCCCACGCUUCCUUCUUUCCACUGACCUCGGAUUCGUCUUCACGGUAAAAUGGGCCAAAUCUGGGGUGCGACACUUGGAGCUUUCCCUUUUCUCCAAGUUCAUCGAGGACUGAAGGGUGGCACUUGCAUAUCCUACAAACGGGCUUCUCAUUGACUGCGACUAAUGGGAUGUCUUCAGGGUCAUCUGAGCCGUCUACCAGUUCGUAUUUGUGCCAAGAAGUAGACAUAUUCGAUCUGCCUCAGGUCAAAACGCAGAUUCAACUUAUUUAUGGCUCCUAAUCAUACAACAAUUUUACUUCUUUUGAACCAAUAAAAUUGGGAAAAGAAAAACGUUUAGGAGUUUCAUAUCAGAAAGAACCGGUUACCCCUUUUCACUGAAGCGGACCUCAAAAAGGAAAAACAGUUGAAACGAAAAGCAUGUCGUGAAUUAACCAGAUGGAAGAACAGUUUAGUCUAGGUUGAAGGUUCCUCAGCUCCAACGAAAUUCUUGGCUGGAAAAACAAUAUGAGAGAGUGAAAGUUCAUAGUAGCAAUGAUGCUAGGUUGAAGAAGAAAGAGCUAAAGGAACAGAGCCGUCUGCAGUUGGCUAGUUGGAACUUGGAAGCAACCCUUCACGGAAAUGAGAGAACCAACCAGCAAGAAUUUGCAAGAAUUAGUGUUAAUAAGAAUUUGCAAAAUGGAAUAAUUGCAGAAAGCUCCCCUAAGGUUUCUAAUAAUUUCACUAGCUUCCCCUAAAGUUUAUAAAAUUACAUAAACCUCCCCUGAGAUUAAGGUUUUGAUAACAAAAUUAGUCCAAUUAAAAAAGUAACAUUAAAAAAGUACUUUAAGAAGAGAGAUGAAACUUAUAUUUCAUAAAUACCCUUUAUGCAUGUAUAUAAGUUGUAUUAGUAAAAGAAUAAAAAUAAUUAAAAGUUAGAAAUAAUUAGUACACACAUUUUACCACUCAAAAAGUUUGCAUUUAAUAAUUUAGAUAAUACAAAUAAGUAAUAAAACUAAAUUAAUGAUCACAAGAUUCAGCAAAACAGACUAGUCAUCUCUUUUAACAUGAUAUUUGUUAUGAUUCUUGUGAUUUUAAAAAGAAAAUUUUUUUCAAAUGUUGUUUUUUUCCCCUCCUUUCUAAUUGAUUGAAUUUUCAAAUUCUUGUGAUUAAUAGAAUUUGACAAUGAUCAGAAAUCAAUUGUACACAAGGUAAGAAAAAGGGUUUUGAUAGAAGAAAAAAUACAAACCAAAAGAAAGUUGUUCGUGAGGAUUUUUUUUUUCCAAAAUUUGAAAGUUUUUCUGUUUAGAAUCACAAAAAUCAUAGCAAAUAUCAUGUUAAAAGAGAUAACUAGCCUAUUUUAAUGAAUCUUGUGAUCAUUAAUACAGUUGUGUUACUUAUUUGUGUUGUCUAAUUUAUUAAAUGUGAACUUUUUGAAUGGUUAAAUGUGUAUAUUAAUUGUUUCUAACUUUUAGUUAUUUUUAUUCUUUUACUAAUACAAUUUAUAUAUAUGCAUAAAGGGUAUUUAUCGAAUAUAAGUUUCAUCCGUCUCCCUAUAGUUCUUUUUUAAUGUUAUUUUCUCUAAUUAGACUAAUUUUAUUAUCAAAAUUUUAACUUUAGGGGAGCUUUGUGUAAUUUUAUAAACUUUAAGGAAGACUAGUGAAAUUGUCAGAAACCUCAUGGGAGGUGAGGUUUCUGAAAUUAUCCCUCGCAAAAUUUGAUACCCUCUAGCUUACCUAUUGGUUGCCCUAUAUAAACUAUGCAGAGUGAAUUUUCUAGCCCCACCCCUUCCCCUUUCUGUUUGGGCCCUUUGGGCCACUGUGCCGAGUGAAUUUAAUACUCUAGAUUUGAGAAACAUUUGCAAUUACCAUUUUACGGGACAAACAACUUUAUUGGAAACAUAUCAAACUUUUCCAUAUAAGAUCCUAAAAAAACCAUCCACGCAGAUAUCUCAGGCAUUGUUUAUCUUGUCCCGAAUCGGCUCAAAUAAUUCAGGAAAUCAAACAGAAGUUAGAUAAGUUUAGAAUGAGGAACCUAUGCUGUCCAUUCUUUCUUAAGUUUGGUGAACAUAAGAAUGGUUUCAUCUAUGGUGGUGGAAAGCUGACUCACCUAUGCAUGGUGGUAAGAGCAAAGGAAAUUAGGACAACACAUCGCAGUGGAGCAGGACAAAAAAAAAAAACUAUUAAAAGUAGUGACCGAGUAGACUUCGGUCCCGUUUGAUAAGUGAAUUUUUUGGGUGUUUGUCUAAAAAUUUACUGUAACUUACUGUAGAAGUUUUUUAAAAAAAUUUUAGAGUGUGUAAAUUUUUGAAUAUUUUGAACUGUAUAGUGUAAAAACUUUGAAAAGUUUUUUGAGGUCAUUGUAGCUAAAGUUUUUAAAAAACUUAUAGUAGACAAACUUGGCAAAAAACUUGUCUGCCAAACAAUGCCGAAGUUUCACGCAAGGUGGUCCAUUUUAGUUUUGGGAGAAAUAACAUGUAUGCCCCUCAACAACUUAUAGGCAUUUGUAUGCACCAAAAAUUGUCAUUAAUUGGGGAUUAGCUCGUCAUGCCUAAUUGGCGGGAAACAAGUUGCAAAGAGUGGGAAGAGUUGAAAAAAUUGGUCAGAUGCAAUAAUCCUUGGGAUAUGCCGAAGUGAAGCCAUGUGUACUCCAAUCUUAAUUUGUAAAUGCUUACUUGAUAAAAGAGUUAUGAUGGUUUAAAUUUAAUUGUUAGUUGAUAUAGAUGAUUAAUUAUAUACAUAAAUAAUUAAAAGAAAUUAAUUUUGUAUAAAAUUAAUUUUUUAUGUAAUUACAUUUAUUAAAGAAUUUUGGUUUAUAAGGUUAUUGUAAUUUAGUAGUUACAACAUUUAGAGUAGUUACGAGUAGUUAUAAUAGCAAAAUGUGAUUCAGUAGUUAGAGCAAAAAUUAGUUUUUCUUUAAGGAUAAAAUAGAAAUUUUUAAAAAUGACAUAAAAAAGUUUACACUAAUUGUGAUCCCUCUAACUUUAUAUAUAGCAUAGAUAGUGGCCUUUUAAAUAUUAACAUUAUCUAAUGAUAAGGAUAACCAAAUUAUAAUAAAAAUCAAAAUUUAAUCUUAAAAGUAAGUGCUAAAUUUAAAUAUUUUGUUGUGAUAUGGAUAUUGAUAUGGAUUAUCUAAUGAUAGCAUAUCCAUUGAAACAAGCCGGCAAUGAUAGCUAGAUAAAUGUCAAUUAAAAUCAUGUGUUCAAAUUAACAUACAUAUCCGAACAAAUGCACUUGACGAUAAAUUGGAAUUGAAAUUGAUUAAGUUGGUCGAUUAGCAUAGAUGAAUUAUCAUAAACAUAAUUCGCAUGUUCUAAACUAAGAUAGAUAUCAUAAUCCUUUUUCUGGGGGACGGGGGGUUUUAUGUAGUGUGUAAUUGAAUUUUUUACAUUGAACCAAAUUAUUGUCUAAGCAACUGAGUCACAAAAGUUAUGGAUGAUAAAUUGAAAUUAUUUGAAAAAUUGGCAGUUAGAUUGAAAGAUUUAAAAAAUUGGCAAUCAAGUAAUCAUGAAAAAUGUUUGCAAUCAGCCUAAUGCAUGAAAUUAUUGGAGAAUAAUUUCAAAUUUGAAAAGGAAAAUAUGAAUAUGAGUAAAUGUGAGUUGAUUGAACAAUAAAUUUGGCUAUUUCAUUGUUAACCAUUUCAUUAGUUCAUGUUAUCUUUGUAUGUUAACAAUUUCAUUGUUUUAUUAGAAUAAUAAUUUGAUUUCAUAUUCACCAAAUCAAACUCUAAUCGAAUUGAAAUCAAAAUUCAAUAUAAAUCUUUUGACAGAUUUUAUCAAUAUUGAAAUUUGGUUAAAACACCAAUCUCGGUUCUAAUUGACCUUUGUAUUUUUUUUCGAAGUAAAGUUAGUAAUUGAUAAUAAUGUCAUAGUGUGUUCAUGUGUGAGUAGCUAUUAAGUAACUAGGCUAUUAAGUGUUGUGAUUGUAAUCAGAAUGUAAAAGAUAAUUAAGACUAUUAAUAAUCCACAAUACCUUUUUUUUUGGCAAAAAACCACAUACUAUAUUUUGGAUAAUAUGGUAUUGUGUUGAGAAUAUGUUGGCAUUCAAUUUACACAAAAUAUUUGAACGGAGAAAAGAAUGAUUCAUUAAUUUUCAUAUAUCCAAACCAUAAGAUAUUGCUUUUGUAUGGAUUUUUACUAGGUAUGCAUUACACUAAUCUUUUAGAACUACAUCUUCAAUGUAUUACCUACUCAAGUUUUGAUUAUUAAAUUAUCCAGUUAUAGUAAGGGUUAAGAUAAAUUAAUGUUGCAAGGUUUAACAGUGUUCUUAGAUAAAUCUCGAGGUGAUACAUUCUUUUUUUUUGGUUAAAUAAAAUUUAUCCCCUUAAGGUAUAUCCUACUUUUAAAAAAAAAAUUGUUUGGUCUCUCUUCUUCUUUUUUUUAUUCGAAAUUAGUUAUCUUUUUUAAUUGAAUUUAUCCCUUUAAGUCAAUUACCCAUUUUGAGAAUCUUGUAUUCCUUCUUUUUGCAAACUAGAGGGUGAUACUUAUCCAUUAUAAAUAUUGUUUUUUUAAUUAUCACUUAAGUCUAUCUAAUAGUGAAGUUUAAUUAUAUCAAUCCAAGUAAUUUUGGGUGAAAAUUUGGAGAUUGGUAGUUGGCGACUUUAGUUGACUUCCGCAAUUUCACCCCUCUACCCUUAGCCCUUGCUAAAUCUUGAAAUUUUUAAUUUUCAUUUACCGCUAUUAUUCGGGGAAUUGUACCCCUUUCGUUUCAUUGUUAACGUGAUAUUUUCACUUUUUUAUUGUUUCAAAAUAAAAGUCUCGUGAUAAAAGUCAAACAACUUGCAAUACAAUUUUUCUUUUACACGCUUAGUAAUAAUGAUAAGAUUUCAUCAAUUAAUAAUAAAUAAUUAUAUCAAUUAAUAAUAAACAAUUAUAUAUGACCCACCAUAAUACAUGCACACUUUCACAAGUCAUAUGGCCUUUUGUUUUUAGCUGGCUAUUUCAGUUUCAGUGUUCAAACAAUGGAUAAGAUUGGAAGAAUAUGAAAAGUGCAGUCCAACAUUUUAUUGUGCAUAAUAAAAUAAGUGCUAUUCCCAAAAAAUGUCCCAAUUUUGUGGGACAGAGGGAGUAGUUCGCGGCUUCAUCAGUGGGGAUUUCCAGAUUCCACCCACUACAAAGCCAUUUGUAUUUGCUGUUCACUCCCUCGUACUAACCCGCAAUUUGUCUUUUAGUUUUGGCUUGUGCCGGUGACCUUAUCUGAAUUGGGCCCCAAACACACAAAGAAAGAUGGCCAUGCAUGCUGAAUUGUCUUGUUAAUAUUUCUUCAGCUUAACCAACUACUCUAGCCUAGAGUAAUUCACUAUCAGGAAGAGCCUUAAAACUCUUCUUGAGUAUACGUCAAUAGAUUGAAUUUCUUGACCUAUAUUCUAAUACAAAAUUUUUUGUAAAUUUUAAUAGUGAAUGUAAAGGCACCCGUUUGAUUCAAUGACAGCUCAGUCCUCUCCAGUUCUCCAUUAACUCCCUUUGAUCGACCCAUGCACCUUAAUGUAGAGUAGAAGCAGGUGUAGAAUAACAUUUAUCGUAUCAAAAAAAAAUAAUAUUCUUUCUGCAUAGGGUGGAAAGUUACCCUAAUCUUAAAAAAUUGAUUCCACCCUUGAAGUCACCCUACUUUUAAAAAAUUGAUCAGGAAGGACGCAUACUUUUUUUUAUUAUUUAUAUAAUAACAAUUGAAUAGGACGGACAACUUUCCACUACCCUACUUUUGAAAAAUUGAUCAGUAAGGACGCAACUCUCCGCCCUAAGAGAGCGACCCUACUUUUAAAAAAUUGAUCAGGAAGGACGCUUAGUUUUUUUUUCUUAUACCAUAUAAUAACAAUUGAAUAGGUCGAAACAACUUUCCACUACCCUACUUUUAAAAAAUUGUCCGGGAAGGACGCAACUCUCCGUCCUAAAAGCGACCCCACUUAUAAAAAAUUGAUCAGGAAGGACGCAUGCUUUUUAUAUAAUUGAGCGGGAUGAACAGGGAAAAGGACAAGCAAUGAGACAAGCUCUCUUUGGGGUAUAUUAUUUUAUUAUUAGACAAGAGGGAGAUUCUUUUUGAGGAUAUGGGAACCACUACUUUUGAAAAAUCGAUUAGGCAGGAUGCAUACUUUUUAGGGAUAAUUUUGGAAAUCUCCCCUAAGAUUUCAUGAAAUAUCACUAAGCUUCCUCCAUAUUUUCAAAAUCUCUCUUAUCACCCCUCAAGUGAUUGUGGUGUCACAUGUCAACAUCAAAAUGGAUGAAUUAUCAACAAUAACCUCAUCACUUCUAGCAAUUAUCUAGCAUAUGAAAAGCAAAAAAAAAAAAGAAAAGAAAGCAUGUAAUAGCCUAAAGUCUGGGAAACAGUUGGCCCACUUACAAAAUAGAAAUUGUUUUGAUUUCUAGUUCAAUUUUUUUCUUUAACAUUGGACUUUAUAAUUUGAAUUGAAUUUGAGGCCAAUACAUAAUAGUGUUGACUUUUCAUAUGCACUUAGUAUAAAUCAUUAUUGAUAUUGUGCAAGCGUCUUGAUAAUUUUUAAUAUAACCAAAUAUUUUUUUAAAAAAAUGUAUCCAUGGCCACCUUUGUUUUUGGUUUCAUACUUACCUUAGUUCACUAGUUAUUUCUUAAUCUAUUAUCCUUAGUUAGGGUAAAGAAAUCAGCACCAUGUCUUUUGACAUCCAACACUGGUAGCAAGUUUAGAAAUGAGAAUAAGAUCCUUAUUAUUACCCUUUUGAUAUCUUUAUUAAUAUGUUUUGUUUUAUUUUUAUUUUUCUUUGAAUUUUCUUCCUUACACUGAUAUAAUCAGAACAAGUGGCUAUGAUAAUGUUCUUUGGAAUACCAAAUUUUUUUGUGCGUACGUCCAAUAAUAAUACCCUUAUAACAAAGGCUAGUUGAAAGGAAACUAACUUUGUUUAUAUUGAAAAAAACUGGGAUGGUUUUGAAUGGUUGUCCUUGGGAGUUUUUGUAAAAAAAAGUUAAAUAUAUAUUUUUCUAUUUACAUUGUUGAUUACAAAGUUUUAAAGUUCCAAGAAGGUGUACAAAUAACACAGCACAAACAAAUAAACAAGAGUAAAAUGUCAUACUUUUUGAUAGCUAGUCAUUUUCUUCUACCAAUUUUCUCUCAAUCUGCCCAUUUUCUGAAGCUAUUUCUGCGUUUUAAUAUUGCUGCCAGGAAGCCAAAACUAACCGUUGCCCUCCUUACGGUCGUUCACUUUUCUCACUUGCAGUCCAAUUUUCAUGCAUUUCACUCUUUGACCCCCUCACUUUCUACAUAGAUUUUUUUUUGUCAGCUUAAGGGUAUUAAGGGAACUAAAACACACUCUCUCUCCUCCAAAAUGCAUUUUCUAUUAAUACUUUUGGUUAGAGGGGCUUAUAUUGUUAACAAAAUAUCGAUUCAAAGGGUGGUAAGAGAGAUUUUGAAAACGUGAGGGAGCUUAGUGAUAUUUUACGAAACCUCAGGAGAAGUUUAUGAAAUUAUCCCUACUUUUUAUUAUAUAGUAAUGAUUGAAGAGGAUGGACAGGGAAAAUGGACAAGCAAUGAGACAAGCUCUGGUUGGUUGGGGUGUAAACUCCCUUCUCGACUCUACCUACUACCAUAUCUUUAGGCAUGAAGCCAGUCAGAGGGGGAAAUGUUUUAGGACAUAGCUAUCACAAACUAUGAUGCGUAUGAUCUGGAGUCUCCACCUUUGGACUGGAAUCUCAAACCAAGUUUGCAUUUUGUCACAUCUAAAUUCUAAACAAAAAGAAAGAAACAAAGAGGAUAUAGAAACUCCUAUACCCAUGCAUGCAGCAACAUAGUAGUAAAAAAGAGACUCUAGCUUAGCUUUAUAAGAAAGACUCAACCAGAGAAUUAGAUCAAAGCCUCUGUAGAAUUAACUAGACGAACACCAUACAAAGAUUCUAGUGAACAAUCAAAGACGGAAAAACUUACCAACAUUUUUUUUUUUAAAGGAAAAUUUCCUGCUGUGAAAUCGAGCUCCUUUCACAGUCCACGGCUGAAAAUUAGUUUUUACUAUCAUUUAUCGUGAAUGAACAAACUUCGAUAAAACGUAUGAGCUUGAUUAGUUUAUGGGCUCAGUAAAUUAAUUACUAGUUCUUUGGUUGGUUGUAUAAACCAAAACUUUCGCGCAACACGUGAUGGCUCUUAGUUAACUACGUAGUUCAUUAAAGAGCGUAAAGAUUCUGCAACAAACAAACCAUAAAAGAAUAAAUAAGCAGAAGGACAGCAGCACGAUCCGCAGGCUACUGAUUUUGGGAAGAUGACCGCCGUGGCAAGCAUCUCAGCUGCCGUGAGGAGGCUUCAAGAAUUGUUGCUCGACGAAGCGAGAGCUUUAGGCCAAUUAAAACCGGUGGUCGAGGGCACUGUGUUGCCGAGACUGCAGGAGUCGGAGGAAAUGUUGAUGGGGCUACCAGCCCAUAAAAUAAGAGUAAAAGGAGCCCAGGAUGAUCUGGAAUUUGGAAGAAGGACCAGAAGUCUGUUGUCUUCUAUUGAGGAUAAGGUGGAAUCGUAUGCCCUCCAACCUGGAUCUGCAACUAGCAGUAGUCGUGAAGCAUGUUGCGGUGGUGGUGGUGGUGAGAAUACAGCGUUUGGGAAGCUCGUAGCUGACUUGAAAGUUGCUGUUGAUGGACUCAAGGAUUGCAUUACAUCCUACUGUGCAGAACAAAAUCAAUAUCAACAGAUUCGAAAGCUAGGACAAAAGUCCCAAUGGCUCGUCUCUCGAGCAAAUUUCUCUAGCGGCCGCUGGGGAGAUGAAGCUUUUGGAUUGGAGGAGGAAGUACGUAAGCUGACAAGGGUUUUAGUCAGUGAAGAGACUGAUCCCAGAGUCGUUUUCAUAGUCGGAAUGGGUGGAAUCGGUAAAACAAUCCUUGCCAAAAAACUGUUCAAUCAACCUGAUGUUCGGCAUCAUUUUAAGGGAUUCGCCUGGGUCUAUGUAGGUGGUUACUGGAGCACCAGAGAUAUCUUGGUAACUAUAAUCGACCAACUGUCCUCCUUGCCGAGGAAGAAACGGGAGGCGAUGAUGAAAUCCGAGGAAGUGGAGCUGGCCCCACAGGUGUUCACAAUUCUACAGCGAAAAAGUUGCCUGGUCGUUUUGGACGACUGUUCCGACCCUGAACUCUUGGAUAUCCUAAGCAUUGCCUUCCCAUUUGCGGUGAGGAGUGCUUGUGCAAGCAAAUUCAUUCUCACCACUCGAAACCGGAAUUUAAGCAGAUUUCUUGAUCCAGGUGCAGUAUACAGCUUGCGCAUGGAAUCACUGAAUCCCAACAAGAGCUGGGAUCUAUUCUCUCAUAUUUGGCGCAAGCUAAAGGGUCAGUCUCUCUCAACUUAAAACAAAACAAUCAUCUUUGCUCUCUCUCUCUCUCUCUUGUUUUGGUAUUCACGUCUUCAUUUACUUUUUAAUAGAUUUAAGGGAAAGAAAAAAGAAGAAGAAGAAGCCCAAUAAUUUCAUGGUGCAAAGUGGUAUUAACAAGAGAUUUAGCUACAAACUUGACAAUGAAUAUUCAUAAACAUUCCCGACCAAAUCACUUGGGGAAGAACAUUUGCCUGCAAUUUCAAUCAAAAUUAAGCUCCUCUCAUACAUUAAUUCUCUACAAUUAGCUAGAAAUUAAUCAAAGAAAAUCAAAAUUCCAUAGUUCUACUGCUCAUGAGCAGCCCUACUUGAUGAGAGAAUUAGCAACAAAUAUACUAUAUCUACAAUUGAUUCUGUGUUACAUUUGUAUAACCUGCUUUAAGCUAAUCAAAAUAGAAGAGAAUCUGACGGGAUUUCCCGUGGAAGGAAGCCAUAUUGCCACAAUUAAACUGGCAAGAGACACUCCCACCAAGACUUAAAUGUGGUACCAACAACCCGCAACCCAAGAGGCUGUUGGGCAAUUGAUUUUUUGUUACAUGGUACUUCAUAGACUUGGGUGUUGACGCUUGUACAGUUGAAAGUAAUCUUAACUUUUUCGCAAGGCAUUUUUUGAUGACGUUCCAAUUAUUGUUAUUCGUGACACUUCUAUCUGAUGUCAUUUUCUAAAAAGCGCCAAUGUGGAAUGCCAAUAAUAACUGUUUAAAAAAAUACUUGAGCUUGGGACAAAAUCCUGGUUAACAAAAUUGUAAUUUACAGAUGCUCCUGUUGGUAGAUUUUUAAAGAAGAUAUAACCCUCAUUUGAAUCUCAACGUCUUGGUUUGUUUCGUUAAUUGGCUUCUGGUUUUCUCUACAGAGGGUCCGAUCCCAGGGAGACUGGUGCCAAUUGCAUGGGAAAUAUUAGCUCGAUGCGAAGGCUUACCAUUGGCUAUCAUUGUACUGGCGAGCAUGUUAAGCACUGGAAGGGAAGGUGAGCGGAAUAGGGUGCUUUACAAUCUUCUUGAGAACCGCCACCAGAUGGAUGGAUUUCCCAUAGGCUUUCAUUGCCUACAGUCAGCUUACUACGCUUUGCCACUGCGCCUUAAGGCGUGCUUUGUUUAUUUGGGAAACUUCCCAAACAAUUCAAGAAUACAAGUAGAGAAGUUGUGCCAGCUUUGGAUUGCUGAAGGUCUGAUAUCAGCUGAGGAUAGGGCAAGCGAAGAAACAAUGAUGGAUGUUGCAGCAAAAUAUUUCGGCGAAUUGGCACUAAGGAGCUUGGUAACUCUGGAAGAAGAUGAAGUGUCAGACUUAAGGCUCAUGUCCGGCCACAUUCAAGGCCUGAUAAGAAGUCUCUGCAUAAUAGAGGGAAGAGAGGACGAAUUUUUUGAGAUCAUGCCUGGCUCGGAACCAUAUAUGAUUUCAAAAGCACAAAGAUGUGCUAUAUAUUUCGAUAAAUAUUACAGCGUAUCAAAUGUUAUCCCCACUGCUAACCUUCGGUCUCUUUUAUGCCUCAACUCUGAACAAUCAAGGCAAGGAUCUAGGUGGCCACAGGGACUUUUUAAUUUCAGAAAACUUAGACCGCUAAGAGUUUUAGAUUUUGACAGAGUUAGUUUUCAGGAUGGAAAUCUUCCUCAAGGAGUAGGAGAGUUAGUCUACUUGAGAUACUUGAGUUUUCGAGGAUGUUACCUCGAGGAUUUGCCAUCAUACAUUGGCAACCUUUUGUACUUGCAGACCCUCGACCUAAGGGUUCAAAAAGAUUGCAUAAUGACCAUUUCAAAUGUCAUUUGGAAGCUUGAGCGAUUAAGACAUCUGUAUUUCCCUCUAGCAUUUCAAACUCCUGAUCAUCGUGGAAUGUUGAAACUAGAUAGCUUGAAACAACUAGAGAUACUUGAGGGAUUGAAUACAAGUGUGUGCAGAGCUAAGGACCUCAUAAAGCUGACCAACCUUCGGAUUCUAGCAGCAACUGCAGAAGGAAACCUCGAGGACUUGGAGCUCAUCAUCCGCUGCAUAGGCAUCAACUCAAGCCACUUGAAGAGGACAUCGCUUGACAUUAAAAAGUUUGAUUGUUACUCUGAGGAACGGCUGUCUUUCAUACAAAGAUUAUUCAGCUGUCCUGUUCUUGAUACUCUGCAAAUAGAAGGGCACAUAGGAAAAUUGUCAGACAUUGGUACAAUCUCUGGAAGAUUUACUGAGAUUGUGUUAAAUGGUUCUGAACUUGAUCAAGACCCUAUGCCAACACUGGGGAACCUUCCCAACCUAAGGAUCCUUGUCUUAGAAGUCGAGGCAUACUUAGGAAAGAAAUUGCAUUGUUCUGAUACAGGUUUUCCUGAACUCAGGAGUUUAAAGCUCUCCAAGUUGUACAACUUAGAAGAAUGGGAGGUGGACGAAGGAGCAUUGCAAAAGCUUUCUACUUUAGAGGUUUCCAUGUGCAGGAGAAUGAAAAAGCUUCCUCAGGGAUUACAAAGCAUCAUUACUCUCAGAAAGCUGAAGGUCAGCAUGAUGCCACAACAAUUCUUAGGCAGGCUACGAAUGAAAAAUGGCAGAGGAGGAGAAGAUCGUCACAAAAUCAACUCAAUGUGUUCAAUAGAAUUUGGAAAUGAUGAUCCUUGGCUUGAGUUCACCAAUUCAGCAAGUCAGGUAAUCCUUCACCAUCUCCCCGUGGAAUUUUACUUACAUGUCAAAUCUUUCAUCCUUCAAGAAAAUUUGUUGCUACAGGUAGGACUUCUCGAUGCCAAACACACUAGUAAAUAUUCAUUCUUAGACUAAGUUAAUACAAGAUGGAAGUAAUGUACAGUUGGAUACAUUGCACAAGCUGUCACUGUAGUUGAUGCUUCAGAGAAGGCCUCGUUUUUUAAUCCCUCUAUAUUCAGUUUUUAGGUCAAUAAAAUUUUACUUCUAUAUAAAAGCAGUCCUAAACACCUAUGAUUUCAUAUACCUUUUUGGGUUUUUUGAAUCUUCAAUUUUCAGGACCAAAAUAAACGAGCACAGACUUAGAAUUUUCUGUGCCUCUUCAGUCUUAUAGUCAAGCUUGGAAAAUAGAGUAACAAGCUAGUUUAUUGUGUUUAAUACUCCACAUUUCAGCUAGCAAUACAGGAAUUCCCAGAAACAAUAACACUAACUACGAUCGAAUCCCAAUCCCAGAAACAGCUUGAAUGACUUGAGAGCAUUCCUUGAAUAAUGUUACAAGUCUAAUAGAGAUGUUGUCAGAUUAGACAUCCUAACUUCUUUUAUUUAUUUAUUUAUUGGUCUUCUAUUUUGCAGCAAAAAAAUUCCUUUGAUGGCAGAAUCACCGAAUCUCAGGCUUCAAGUUCAACUCAGAGUCCAAACCUAACUGGAAGUUUUGCAUGCUUACCAGAAACUGAGAGGGAAAGAGAUGUUUACCUUCAAUGAUCCCAGUUGAGAAAAUGCACCAAAUUGUGAACUUUCAUCUCCACUUUAACUUGCUUGUGCCCUGCUCCAACAUUGUGGCAUGGCCUAGGUAUGCUCUUCUCAGAAGUCAGACCAGAGAAGAAAGAUGGAUAUCAGUCAAGCUCAAGCUCCAGACACCGUCAGAAGUUCAGUCUGGACUCCAAGAAACGAAUUGAAGGAGGAUGUUUACCUUAGCAAGAGUUGCACUAGCCAAUCCCUGUUCUUGAGGAAAGGCUUCUUUCCUGCACCGUAGUCUUCACAUCACUCACCAAAUGCCCUGCUUCAAUAUUUUGCCAUUGGUUAAGUGAGUUUUCAAUUGUUAAUUUGAACUUUAUCAUGUCAAAGACUUUCACAUAUAAAAGCUGCAUUCUGAAUUUCCGUUGUUGUAUUUCUAUGUAAUAGUAAAUGCUCUUCUUUGCAUGAAUAAUGUUGGCCACACAAUCUCAUUUUAUGGUCUAAAAUAGUAUUAAUGUUUAUGCUUCUCUCCCUGAUAAGAUGGGUUGAUUAUUGCUAUCUCUAUGCAUAAUGAUUAUUUAGGCCUAAACUAUAUUUAUAAUUAUAGCAAGGUUGAUUGACACCAUCACAUCGUCAAAUAAGUUCUAAAAUUUAUAAUUAUAACCAUAAAGAGCUUCUGCCAAAUUUCUGUAAUUCUAUAUAAGGUCAUGCGAUUAUUUUCUAAGGAAUCUAUCUUUUUAUUUUUUUCAAUUUAGCCCUUGUGCCAACUCUCACUCACGUGUCAUGAGACCUAUUGACUUGGAAUCUUUUUUUUUUUUUAAACCAUAUUUUAACUUCUCUGAUCCCAAAGUGGAUUCAAGCAGGCAUGGUGGAGAAUGGUGGUUUAUGUACAAUUGUUAUAUAUAUAUUUUUUUUUGAUAAAAUCCGUAUAAACGCUAUGGUUGAAAGUUAGGAUGUCCUCUUAUCGUUAAAAAAUGUUCAUAGCACCUCUCAUAAUUCAAACUAAUAUGGAAUUUAAUUAACAACAGGCUUUUCAAAAAUGUUUGUAAUAUCCCCUUAUGAUUCAAACUAAUUUGGAAUUUAAUCGAUAACAAGCUCGUUACUUAUAAAAGUGAUAUCAUUUUUGGGAUGAUAAAAUGCAUUUUAUCCAUAUUACACCAUUUUUUUUGUCCCAAAUUCCUUUUUUAAUUUUUUCUUUUGCUUUAUAAUUUUUUCCUUUGUUUCCUUCUUUUCUUCUUCUCCCCGAACCCCAUCCCACCAGUACCACCACACCACCAACACUGAUCACUAUAACUCCCACGUCCACCAACAAAGGAUUCUGAUCAUCAUUGAAUUCUUUCAUUCGUGUGAGCCCUUUAAUGUUGGUAUGGUGGUUCUAAAGUAAGCUAACAUAGAAAAGAAUGUUUUGAGUGAAAGUGAGAAUUAACAGGCAAGAGCGGCAAUACGUUGAACAUUAAUUUCCUGGGGAGCCAUGGUCUAAUCCCUAAGUUGCGUCUUCAAAAGAUGGAGAGACUUUGAGUGGUGUUCCUGUCCUGACCGGCCAGAUUGCGUCUUCAAAAAAUUUUGACACUGAAUUAUCUAGGAAACUAAUUGCACUUAAAAUGAAAAGUUUUAAUCAAGUUUCUGUAUCAACAAUUUUUUUUUUACCUACUAAAUUAUUUUAACAAAGCAACAGAAAGGUAAGUGUACGAACUUUAGUACACUUGGGAUCCUCGGUGACAAAGUUUUCUAUGCCAAUUCAAUGCCACCUAUAAUAUUUUGUCAAGUGUCAUGUUAUUAUUUGCACUUUAGGGUCCGUUUGUUUCGGGUGAAAAUAUUUUCCUAAUUUCCCGUGUUUGGUUGCACAAAAGUUAUUGAAAAUAUUUUUCUAUGUAAAAUAUUUUCACUCAUCUUAUGGAAAACAACUUCCAUUCCAAACUUACUGAAGUUGUUUUCCGAAAUGCAUGCAUCCCGCCUGUAGUAUGUUCCAAACUUAUUAAAAACAUCUUGUAGUAUGUUCUUUUUUUUUUUAGUGUAAACAGGAGGAUUCGAACCCAAGACCUCUUCCUUACACUCCCUCCCCCGUACCACCCAACCUUCCCCCUAGUAUAUUCAAAAUAAAAAAAAAACCUCAUCCUGCUCAUCCUAUGCUAGUAAUUAAUUAUGUAUAAUAGGGACAUUCUUUUCUAGAGAAAUUUUUAGUAGUGAGAGUGCAAGAUAUAUGUCACAAUAAGCAUUGCAAGUGAUUGAUAUUUGACACUAAAUGACCAGCAAUUUGUUUAUUACUUAAAGAGAUAUUUUUUAUUCAUAUAUACAUUUCUCCAAGAUUUUUUUAAAGUUAAACAAUGAGAUAAAUUUUCUUAUUUUGCAUGGGAAGAAGUAUGUAGUUGUAAUGUGUAGAAAGUAAAGAUAGAGAUAAAAGUGAAAAUAUUUCAAAAGUUAAACAAACACUAGAAAAAUGAAGUAAGAAAAUAUUUUCAAUCAGCUAACCAAACACCUGAAAAUGAUGAAAGGGAAAUGAUUUUCAUGGAAAAUUACUUCCAUGAAAAAUAUUUUUCCAAGGAAAACAUUUUACUUCCAACCAAACAGACCCUUAAUUUUCUAAUAAUUCAACCGGUUUGGUUUAACACAAGUUUUUUCUAUUCUCUAAAACUUUGAACCAAACCAAACCAACCGGUCUAAUUCCAUUCAUCAUUGAUUGCCUUCCAACAAAAUUGCACAGGAACUCUUUUUGACGUUGAUUGCUUUGAAAAAGCCAAAAAGAGAAAAUUCCCAGAAACUAGUGUGCUGAAAAUUCCGAAAUGGUGACUCGCACCGCUGCUGGAAAUUCUUUCAGCUAUAUUGUUGGCUGACUCCGAUGAGCUCUACACUUCAACGACGUCAUCCUUUUGAUUCCUCCACCAGCUCCACCAAUUAAGAAAGAUAACACUGCUCCAAGUAAAUGUACCUUCUCUCAAAGGAGGACGUAAAUCUGGUGCCCAGUUUUGCAGUUCCCGGCUGAUGCCCAAUUGAAUAGCAGCAACCUGACCUGCUCCGAGGAGUGCCCAAUGGCAAUUAGCUGAUAACAAAAGAAAAUUGCUAAAGUUGAAUUGAAUCAUCAAUUAACUCAUCCUAGGCAGGUAGAAUGAUUUCACACACAGCUUGCAUGAUUAAGGAACCACGUGGUUUUAAAUUUGCUCGAAAAAUUAAUCCCACGGUAAGGACUAAAACCUCAAACACCACCAACCAACCUCCCAAAAGAGACCCCCAAAAAAAAGCAAUAAUAAUCAAAGAAGAAAGACUGAAGCAGAGCUAAGUUACAUAAAAGAAACACUGGGGUUUCAUUGGUUAUCAAAGAGCCGCAGAAAGCUUUAAUUUGAGGACUUCCUGAAUAGGUCUUGUCAAUUUGCUUCAACAGUCGAAGGCUACAGUUUUAGCUUAUUAGACAACGGUUGAAGCUUUCAGGGACUUUUUCUUUUUGACUUUGUUCAAAGCAAUCAACGAUGAAAAGGUUUGGACUUUGGAGGCAAUUUUGUUUAGGGUUAUCUUUUUUUUUUUUCUAAAGCAAUCGAUCUUGAGUGGUUGCUGUACAAAAGUAUUGGUAAUGGAAUUAGACCAGUUGGUUUGGUUUGGUUCAAAGUUUUAGAGGAUAGAAAAAACUUGUGUUAAACCAAAUCAGUUGAAUUAUUAGAAAAUUAAAGUGCAAAUAAUAACAGGAUACUUGGCAAAAUAUUAUAGGUGGCAUUGGGUUGGCAUAGAAAACUUUGUCACCGAGGAUCCCAGGUGACUUUAGUAAGGAAGCUAUGUAUUGAUUUUUAUUUUUAUUUUUUUUUUGUCAAAAGAAGCUAUGUAUUGAUUGAUAAACUGAAAUAUGCAAUAGUUGGACCACGGCAGGAACGGUUGACCGUUCUUGGCGAUUUUGUGCAUUUUACACACGGCGUAACUUUAUUUGCACAACGUAUAAUUUUAGAAUAAAAUUUUGUGAGUCCUACACAUGAUGUGAAAAUCGAGGUACAAGAUGUGAUCUGAACCAUAUAUUUUUUGUGACCAAAUCCUGAUCAUGAACGGUGCGCAGCGAUGGUUCUUCUGAUGAUCGUCCAUGUCCCUGUCCAUGUCCCUUAUCCACAAUAGUUAUGUAUUAGUACAAGUAUUCAUUUUUUAAUCUUCUCAUCCUUACAAUCCCAAGGAGAAAAAUGUGGUUGACUAUUCUUUGCUAUUAAUCUCUGAAGAGAAAAUCAUAUUUAAAGUGCAAAUGGAAAGUACUUACACAAAUAAUACAGCUACAAAUGCUGGUUUUAUAUGUUCAAGGAGAAAAAUUUUAGAAAUUUUCAAUUUUAUUAGUUUCAGCUCAUAUAUAGAAAAUCAUAUGUAGGCAGAACAAAGUGUUUAAAAAUUGAAAUUUGGUAGAUCAAAAAUGAAUAAGAAAAUGAAAUAACUAAUGAAAAGGUGCAUGCAAUUUAGCUUUAAAAAAAAUUUUCUUGACAUAAUAGAUAAAAUUUUAACAAGUCAACAGGUAACGCUAAAAUAAUUAAUGGCAAGUUAAAUUUUAUAAAUCAAUUAACCAAACAGUACUAGUAAGGUCAAAAAAUAUGUAUAGAGAGGUAAAUGUACAAAUUUUUUUUUUCUUAAUGUUCAAAUUUUUCAUAAAGCAACAGCAAGGUUGUGUCUUCUUCUUCGCAGAUGUCAAAGUCGAUCAAAUGACGCAGGAGCUGGAAGACAAACUUUCGAACAAUUAAUGUAAGGGACUACCUUUAGGUCUUGUUAUGCUUUGGAGAUUUCAUGCGAACAAAGCUAGUGAACUCCGUGUGGUUAUUAACAUUGCAUUUUUUGGGUCUCGUUUACUUUUCCAAAUGGAAGCACAAAGAAACCUCCAAAUUGUACUAUAAACGAACAUUUAAACGAGGAUGCAGGUAAAAAAGAACCAACAAAGGAUUCUGAUCAUCAUUGAAUUCUUUCAUUUGUGACAACCCUUUAAUGUCCGGAUGGGGAGGGUUCUAAAGUAAGUUAACAAUAGAAAGGAUGUUUGAGCGAAGGAGAGAAUUAAUAGGCAAGAGUGCCAAUACUUCGCACAUUUCCUGGGGAGCCUUUUUGAGUGGUGUUCCUGUCCUGACCGGCCAGAUUGCUCAAGAUUACUGAAAACUUGUAAUUUGCCACUAAUCUAGAAUGAUAUAAAGGCACUGACAUGUUAGAACUUGUAAUUUGUCAUCAGUUAUAUCAACAAUGGUUAUGGUUUUUACCUUUACGGUCCUUUUCUCUUCAAUCUCUUGUUUACCGUUUUAUAUAAGGAGGAGGAUGAACAAAGACCUCUCGCCAUCGAAGUAAUCAAACAUUAGAACCAAGUAAAAGCAUUAACAAAGAAGUCUCAAUAUUCGCACUCAUAUAUAUGGGAAAACCAUCAGUUUUGGUAUUGGCGCGGGGGUCUAAAGUAAGCUAACACAGCAAAGACUGUCUGGAUUAAGGUGAGGAUGAAAAGCAAGAUAGCCAAUAGUUUGAACCUUUCCCAGGGAGCAAUGUUAUAGUCUCUCAGUUGGAUCCUCAAAAGGUGGAGGUUUGGAGUGGUGUGCUUGUCCUGGCUGGCCAGAUUGCUCAAGAUUGUAGGCAACUUCUCUUUAUGGUAGGGGUUGUCUGCUUUGAUGAUUCCUUUUUUGGCUAACAGCUUGACAUCUUCAUAGGUACAAAUGAGAUCGUUCAUGAACUGCAGAUAGGAUCUCACCUCGCGUUUGCUCUUGCCCUGUUGUUGACUCUCCUCGUAAUGCUUCAGGCUUUUGAAAACUAGUUCUGUAUCAUCACCAACUGUGAAUACCGGCAAGUAAAGACGAGCAAAGAUGAAGUAGUCUGUAAAACUUAUCUCUGUACAGCCCACCUUUUUCACUUUCCUAAAACGGAUUCCCUUCUUAUUCAACUCGGAGGCGCUA